AAAGGCGUAAUGAAAGUGAAGGUUCGCCUUGCGCGAACCUAGGGAGGAUGGUCGAUCGUUCGAGGUCGACCCGCACUCCCUGGGCGUCUCGUUCUCAUUGCGAGAAGAGGCGCACCAAGAGCGUACACGCUGGGACCCGAAAGAUGGUGAACUAUGCCUGGUCAGGACGAAGUCAGGGGAAACCCUGAUGGAGGUCCGUAGCGAUUCUGACGUGCAAAUCGAUCGUCGGAACUGGGUAUAGGGGCGAAAGACUAAUCGAACCAUCUAGUAGCUGGUUCCCUCCGAAGUUUCCCUCAGGAUAGCUGGCGCUCGCUUCUUGCGAGUCUCAUUCGGUAAAGCGAAUGAUUAGAGGCAUUGGGGUCGAAACGGCCUCAACCUAUUCUCAAACUUUAAAUGGGUGAGAUCUCCGGCUUGCUUGAACUGUGAAGCCGCGAGAUAUCGGAUCAGAGUGCCAAGUGGGCCACUUUUGGUAAGCAGAACUGGCGCUGUGGGAUGAACCAAACGCUGAGUUAAAGCGCCUAAAUCGACGCUUAUGGGA
rnacentral:rRNA from 1 species